rnacentral:rRNA from 1 species
CGUGUAGGCGGCCAGGUAGGUCAGCUGUGAAAACUCGAGGCUCAACCUCGAGAUGUCGGCUGAAACCAUCUGGCUAGAGUCCGGAAGAGGAGAAUGGAAUUCCCGGUGUAGCGGUGAAAUGCGCAGAUAUCGGGAAGAACACCCGUGGCGAAGGCGGUUCUCUGGGACGGUACUGACGCUGAGACGCGAAAGCGUGGGGAGCGAACA